rnacentral:lncRNA from 1 species
UUGCAGUGCUAAAAACUGUUAGUUUCACUUUCCAGUGUCCAUGACGUUGUGGAAAUUCUAGUACUAAUUCCCUGAUUCUGAAUCCCAAAUUUCAAGUAAAGUGUGCAUACUUAGCUGCAGUAGUCAUAGCAAUGACCUUGUGGUCUAUGUUCACAAUUGUGGCAUAAAUAAUAACUCUUUUUUAAUGUUUUUUUAAAUUUUUUUUUAGAGACAGCAUGUGCGAGUAGGGAAGGACAGAGAGAGAGGGAGUCACAGAAUUCGAAGCAGGCUCCAGGCUCUGAGCUGUCAACACAGAGCCCCAGGCGGGGCUGGAACUCACAAAUGGUGAGAUCAUGACCUGAGCUGAAGUCGGAGGCUUAAAUGACUGAGCCACCCAGGCAUCCCAAAAAAUUCUUAACAGAGACUAGAGAAUUGGUCAAAUUGGAACAAGAAAGUGUAGACAUUACCCAUAGGAAACAGCUCCACUCCAGGUGUAACAACUCUGAGAAGCAUUGGCAAUAUUGGAGUUUUCACAACUCAUAAGGAAACUGAGGGGAGGAAUACCACAGAAGGAACUUUAUCUGUGGGGACACUUUGAAGUCCAGGUUGAACCUUGGGUAUUUCAGAAAGUAUUUGCUUAUGCUUUGUUUCAAUCACCUGCAAGCACUAUAAUAAAUUUAAAACAAAUUUUGCAGUUUGGUGUCUUUGAAACACUCAUUCACAUAUGGGAUAACUUCAUUAAUUUUCUAACAUGACUCAAACUUUUAUGUUUUUCUUAGGUAUUUACUAAUAUACUAUUUAUUAAAAUGUGCAUUUUCUGCAUGAACAGCU